AUUGAACGCUGGCGGCAGGCCUAACACAUGCAAGUCGAGCGGAUGAAGGGAGCUUGCUCCUGGAUUCAGCGGCGGACGGGUGAGUAAUGCCUGGGAAUCUGCCUGGUAGUGGGGGAUAACGUCCGGAAACGGGCGCUAAUAACGCAUACGUCCUGAGGGAGAAAGUGGGGGAUCUUCGGACCAGACGCUAUCAGAUGAGACUAGGUCGGAUUAGCUAGUUGGUGGGGUAAAGGCCUACCAAGGCGACGAUCCGUAACUGGUCUGAGAGGAUGAUCAGUCACACUGGAACUGAGACACGGUCCAGACUCCUACGGGAGGCAGCAGUGGGGAAUAUUGGACAAUGGGCGAAAGCCUGAUCCAGCCAUGCCGCGUGUGUGAAGAAGGUCUUCGGAUUGUAAAGCACUUUAAGUUGGGAGGAAGGGCAGUAAGUUAAUACCUUGCUGUUUUGACGUUACCAACAGAAUAAGCACCGGCUAACUUCGUG
rnacentral:rRNA from 1 species